rnacentral:rRNA from 1 species
CCUACGGGAGGCAGCAGUGAGGAAUAUUGGUCAAUGGCCGUAAGGCUGAACCAGCCAAGUCGCGUGAAGGAAGAAGGAUCUAUGGUUUGUAAACUUCUUUUAUAGGGGAAUAAAGGUAUCCACGUGUGGAUAUUUGCAUGUACCCUAUGAAUAAGCAUCGGCUAACUCCGUGCCAGCAGCCGCGGUAAUACGGAGUAUGCGAGCGUUAUCCGGAUUUAGUGGGUUUAAAGGGUGCGUAGGUUGUUUUUUAAGUCAGCGGUGAAAGUUUGUGGCUCAACCAUAAAAUUGCCGUUGAAACUGGAAGACUUGAGUGUGUUUGAGGUAGGCGGAAUGCGUGGUGUAGCGGUGAAAUGCAUAGAUAUCACGCAGAACUCCGAUUGCGAAGGCAGCUUACUAAGCCAUAACUGACACUGAAGCACGAAAGCGUGGGGAUCAAACAGGAUUAGAUACCCCUGUAGUC